GGCAGAACAUUGGUUAUGGAAAGAAAGGAUGCUGCUGGCAAGGUGCUUGACCGCUGGGCCAUCAUGUCUCGAGAAGAGGAAAUCAUCACCCUUCAGCAGUUUCUGCGGUUCGGAGAAACCAAAUCCAUCGUGGAGCUGAUGGCGAUUCAGGAGAAGGAAGGGCAGGCCGUAGCUGUACCGUCUUCAAAGACAGACUCAGACAUCAGAACUUUCAUUGAGAGCAAUAAUCGCACCAGGAGUCCCAGUCUCCUCGCCCAUCUAGAGAACAGCAACCCUUCCAGCAUUCAUCACUUCGAAAACAUCCCCAACAGCCUCGCCUUCCUGCUGCCAUUCCAGUACAUAAACCCGGUCUCAGCCCCGCUGCUAGGAUUGCCUCCAAACGGGCUGCUAUUAGAGCAACCAGGACUGAGGCUGCGGGAGCCCAGCCUUUCGACCCAGAAUGAAUAUAAUGAGAGCAGUGAGUCUGAAGUCUCCCCCACGCCCUACAAGAACGAUCAAACACCCAACAGAAAUGCCCUGACCAGCAUCACUAACGUGGAGCCCAAAACCGAGCCAGCCUGCGUGUCCCCCAUUCAGAAUUCCGCCCCAGUCAGUGACCUGUCCAAAACUGAACACCCGAAGAGCUCAUUCCGGAUCCACAGGAUGAGAAGGAUGGGGUCAGCCUCCCGGAAGGGAAGAGUGUUCUGUAACGCGUGUGGGAAGACGUUCUAUGACAAAGGUACUCUCAAAAUCCAUUAUAACGCGGUUCACCUGAAGAUCAAACAUCGGUGCACCAUUGAAGGCUGCAAUAUGGUCUUUAGCUCCCUUCGCAGCCGUAACCGCCACAGUGCGAACCCUAACCCUCGCCUUCACAUGCCUAUGCUAAGGAAUAACCGAGACAAAGAUUUAAUCCGGGCCACGUCCGGGGCUGCCACCCCCGUCAUAGCAAGUACAAAAUCCAAUCUCACACUCACAAGCCCUGGCCGGCCCCCAAUGGGUUUUACCACUCCCCCACUAGACCCCGUCUUACAGAACCCUCUCCCUAGCCAGCUGGUGUUCUCUGGGCUAAAGACUGUCCAACCAGUUCCUCCAUUUUAUAGAAGUUUACUCACUCCAGGGGAAAUGGUGAGUCCUCCGACCUCCCUCCCGACCAGUCCCAUCAUCCCAACCAGUGGUACCAUAGAGCAGCACCCCCCACCCCCCUCUGAGCCAGCAGCGCCAGUAGUGAUGAUGGCCACUCAUGAGCCCAGUGCCGACCUGGCGCCCAAGAAGAAGCCCAGGAAGUCCAGCAUGCCUGUGAAGAUCGAGAAGGAAAUUAUCGAUACCGCCGAUGAGUUUGAUGAUGAAGAUGACGACCCCAAUGACAGCGGGCCUGUGGUCAAUGAUGGGAGCCAUGACAAUCACUGCCACUCCCAGGAGGAGAUGAGUCCGGGCAUGUCUGUGAAGGACUUUUCUAAGCAUAGCAGGACCCGGUGCAUUUCAAGGACAGAAAUAAGAAGGGCUGACAGCAUGACUUCUGAGGACCAAGAACCUGAGCGGGACUAUGAGAAUGAGUCUGAGUCUUCGGAGCCCAAACUCGGUGAGGAAUCCAUGGAGGGGGAUGAGCAUAUGCACAGUGAAGUGAGCGAGAAAGUCCUGAUGAACAGUGAGAGGCCGGACGAGAACCACAGUGAGCCCUCUCACCAGGAUGUCAUCAAGGUGAAGGAGGAGUUUACAGAUCCCACUUACGACAUGUUUUACAUGAGCCAGUACGGACUGUACAACGGUGGGGGUGCCAGCAUGGCAGCCCUGCAUGAGAGUUUUACAUCGUCCCUGAAUUACGGCAGCCCUCAGAAGUUCUCCCCAGAAGGGGACCUGUGUUCUAGCCCAGACCCUAAAAUCUGUUAUGUGUGCAAGAAGAGUUUCAAAAGCUCCUACAGCGUGAAGCUUCACUACAGAAACGUUCACUUGAAAGAGAUGCAUGUCUGCACCGUGGCCGGCUGCAAUGCUGCCUUCCCCUCUCGCCGAAGCAGAGACAGAAACAGAAAUUUACGGAUGGAAAGAACCAUAGGUCCAGGACAUCGAGACAGCCUGCAUCUGCGUAGACACAGUGCCAACAUAAAUCUGCAUCGUAAACUGUUGACCAAAGAACUCGAUGACAUGGGCCUGGACUCAUCACAGCCCUCCCUUAGCAAGGACCUCCGGGAUGAAUUUUUGAUGAAGAUCUAUGGGGCCCAGCACCCCCUGGGGCUCGACCUCAGGGAAGACGCCUCCUCUCCCGCGGGGACGGAAGACUCCCACCUGAACGGCUAUGGGAGGGGCAUGGCGGAGGACUACAUGGUCCUGGACCUGAGCACCACCUCCAGCCUGCAGUCCAGCAGCAGCAUCCAUUCCUCCCGAGAAUCCGACGCCGGCAGCGAUGAGGGGAUUCUCCUGGACGACCUUGACGGGGCGAGUGACAGCGGGGAGUCGGCGCACAAGGCCGAGGCCCCCACCCUCCCUGGCGGGCUCGGGGCUGACGUUUCAGGGUCUCUGAUGUUCAGCAGCUUGUCCGGGAGCACCGGUGGGAUCAUGUGUAACAUUUGCCACAAGACGUACAGCAACAAGGGGACGCUGCGGGUGCACUACAAAACCGUGCACUUGCGAGAGAUGCACAAGUGCAAAGUCCCCGGUUGCAAUAUGAUGUUUUCCUCUGUGCGAAGCCGGAAUCGGCACAGUCAGAACCCCAAUCUCCACAAAAACAUUCCCUUCACUGCAGUAGAUUAGUCUCAGAACGGACACUGCAAAUGCCAGCUCUCACCAGAUGGCCUAUGUAUCUGAACUGCCAUAGUGUGCGCUUGUGUACUUGGGGGAGGGCGUGUGUGCACGUGUGUGUGUACACACAUGUAUACCUGUGUACACACACACACACACACACAUUUUCUUUUCUUUGGAUAUAAGAAGAUAAACACUAGGUGCUUUUGAAAUUUUUUGUCUUUUUCCUUUAUAGUUUUGAGAAAGAAGUCAGAUCUUUUAAUUUGGAGAUGAAACAAAAUACCCUUUAAAUACACAUGCGCACACACAUAAAAGCGUGCAACUAGCCCAACCUCUGACAGAGUAACAAUUUUUGGUCCUCUCCAAAGAGACAAUUUGUUGUACCUAUGACUGUUGCCUGCAAAGAGAUAAAGGGGGAAAAAAAAAAAACCAAGGAACUUCUUAUAGUUGUCUUUUGUGAACUUUAAGGUUUUGAGAGAAUCUUCAAUUAAAGCAUGGCAGAUUCACCUGUAAAUAUUUAGCCUUGAGAGGCCAAUGAUGUAAAACAAUUGUAUUGAUGGUUGUUUAACUCUUUUGUUUAAUUUUUACAGUUACAUCCAGCUGUUAGAUAUACAGGAAAAAAAUAGUUUGCUGGCUAGCUCUAUUCAUUUAUGUUAGCAUUAAUGCACAUUUUUUAAGGAAAAAAAAAACAUGGUCUUGUUUUUACUACCUGCUAGAUAUAGUGAUAAAGAGGUGCUGGCAUGCCUUACAGCACAGAUCUGAUUUUUUAAAAUGUCCUGUACUAGUACAUAAAUCCAGUCAUGCACUUUUUUUCAUACACUACAAGGGGAUGUGUAAUAUCCAUGCUUCUUUUUUAUCCUUAAACUAUUGCCAUACUUCAAGUAAGUGUCUUUUUUAAAAAAUUCACUUGUAUAAAAAUGGUCUGGUCAGUAUAGGGCACAAAUGCCAAACAAAAGUAUUAGUGUUAACACAAAACUGCCAACUUUGCACAAGUUUCCAGAAAAGAAAAUACAAUUAGUCACUCAACAUAACCACAGGCCAAUUUGUCCGGCCACCAGAAAACCGCUUUUAAAAAAAACACUUGGUGAUGCUUUCAAGUGCCGAAUGUUAUUACAAUCAACAUUGUAUCCUUCUUGCUUAUAUGUUAAGUUACAUAAAAGGAAAACAAAGUGAUGCAUGUGAAACAGCCAAGGCAUUUAUUCUUUAGAGGCAGGAUAAUAUUUCAGGAUACAAAAGCCCAAAUUACUCACUGCGGAGCAAAGCUGAAUACAGUGAAAGAGCUGAACACUCAUGCGCAAGGACCUGACCCUUCUCCAUUAAAGAGAGGGAGAAAGUCUGAACUGAGUUGGUCUGUUAUGUGGCUGUGUAAUUUGUCGCAAGUUAUGAAGUAGUACUAAGAUUCAGGCUGGUUUGCUAGACAAAAUCAAAAGACAUUUAAUGGCAGAGGCGGCAGUACUUGGAAGCUUUGCAAACAUGUGCUCAACUUGAACUAAGCAAUACUCCUUUCUGAGAAGCCAGAAGAAGGGGGUUUAAAAUAGGAUCUCUCACUGUUUAGUGUUUUGCGUUUCCCCACGCGAUUUGUCAGAGAGAAAUGAAAGCAAGCCUGAAACCAGGCAAUCGAGAGUGAGAAAGAGUAGGGAGAGGAUUCUCCAAACCUUUUUUGUUUUGUUUUGUUUUGUUUCCGAUGUUUACACAUGUUGCCUGAGCUGGUUAACCACAUCGGCAGCCUCAGCUACCACAACAUACUGACUAAAUGAUGAUAUUUACUCAAAUUCAGUCUGCAGCCAAAACCAUUAGGAUGUGCAUUGCAGACUGUUUUGUUGUCUUUUUUUUUUUUUAAGUGGAGAGGGAAAAAGAUAAACAAGGCAUAUUUUGUCAAACAGGACACAAUAAUUUAAAGAGAAUGUAUUUCUUUUCUGCAUUUAAGGGCCUCAAACAUUUCUUUCAUCAGUCUAAAAGUUAGAAUUACUCCCUUUGUCUUAACUUUUUAAUGGCAUUUCCAUUUUUCAUAUGUUUUGUAAUUAUUUUUUUCUAGGUUCACAUCAGCAUUCACUUCCGUUAAAUUUGCCAAAGGAAACUGUUAAUAUGUUUCUCUUGUUGUUAGUCCUGUAGGAUUUAUUGUACCUCAGUAUUUAUUCUUUCCAAAAAUAAGCAUUAUUAAGUUGAGGCUUCAGUAUUUUUUGUGUGAAAAUUUCAGAAACAAUAGAAUCUUAAGAUAAGCUAGAUGUGUCUAGCAGCUUUAUGUUUUCAUCUCCUUCAGAGGAUGCUGUGGGGUUCAUUUAAUUCUUCAUUUGUUCUACAGUGAGGAGAGACCAAAAGUAUUUGCAGUUACAAAAGAAACUAUAGCAAACACUAUGUUUUAAUGACAAAUGUUUACGGUAAAAAAGCUGAGGAAUUAGUGCUAACCGCUUUUUGUUUUUCUUGUACCUUUGAAUUCCCCAAAGUCUUAAUUGCUUUAUUUCAGUGUUGUUAAACUGAAUAGACAGAGAUGUUUUCCUUCGUUUUAUACCACAUAAGACUCUGUACAGUAUGUUUGUGGAAGAUGGAACUAGAAUAAUGAAAAUUUGUUUGCAAACAUUUUGGUCCUCUUAGCCUUCUGUGUUGCGCUAUUGCUCCAUUAACCAAAUGAUUUGAUUCCAGAAGGGAGGAAAAAAUAUUUUGUUGGUAUCCCAUCAAAAGGUUAUGGAAACACUAGCUUUGCGAGUAUACAUAGACCAAGUGACACUUUUAUGAAAUAACACAUUUUCAGAAAUUUUUAACAAUUACACUCUGGGUUGAGAUAAUUAGAACUCAGCUUGUACAAAAUCAGUGCUUAGUCUGUUUAAUGUCAACUAAAAGAUCUAAAAGCCCUAAUGAGUGAAUUACAUAGCUGUCAGCAGGUCACAACAAAGGCACCAGGCUUAGAACAAGUGUUUGGUACUCACCACAAACCAGGCUGAUGUGGAUAGCCAGUUAGAAUAAGCCCAGAAGUAACAAGAUUCUCAAGCAGAAUUUCCAUUGCUCAGAAGCAUGAAUGUGUUCACCUGCCUUUUGUUGGAGAAAUGACAGUGAGUCCUGGACAGCCUGCCCUUUUUAAGUCUCUCCCCUCUUUCCUACUAGUUUUGUGCCUCAAGUGCCCACAUGUUAUGGUGGCCUUUUAAGUGGGUGUAUAAUAUUUUCCAGUUUAAAGCCUAAUUGCUUAAAAGGGACAGGGGGAGUGGACAGAAGUGGUCCAUAAGAUGUAGAAUCAUGAAAACGUACAUUUCAUCUAGUCCCAUAGUGUUGCUUGUUCUGGGGUGUGUGCCUGAGUGCAAUGUUUUGACUUAACUCUAAAUCUAGUUAAGAUGGUGAUCCCAAGGCUUAUUUGCAAAUGGGAAGGAUGAUGUGAUCACCAUUUUAACCAUUGAGCCCUUCCCUCUUUGUCCAUUCAUACUCAUUUCUUUUUUCAUAGGAGUUUUCUGUUGUGACACAGGCUCUGUCCAGCUUCAUCCAUGCUAGGGCGGCUGAAAAAGGAAUAGGAUGCAGCAUUUCAUCCAAGCAACCUUUUUCCCCCACUUGAUUCAUUUUAACCAGCAUUCUGUCACAGUAAUGUGAACGCUGCUGACAAGACUGUCACACUAACAGCAGACAACACCCUGCCCGCUUCAGCCCCAGCUCUCCUGGCUACUUAUUGCCCUGGCCCUAAAGGGACACAAACUAAUAGUGUGCUUUCCAGUUCAGCACUUGGCCAUCAAAUAUAAAAGGAUGCGUAAUUGCCUGUUUAUCCCUUGUGAAGGGGAAAUUGAGUACAAGGGCUAGGCUUUCCCACUGAGUUCCCCGAUGCACACACAUCCACAGUCAGCCUCUCCCUCCCUCCCUCCACCUCCUCCCAGCACACGAGCACGCACACACACCCACUAAACUGUAUCUCUGGUAGGCCCAAGGCUGCCUCGAGGUGCCCUCUCCAGCUAUUAAGUGCACAGUAACAAGACAACGUCUUAAAUAAAGGGUCAGUAGAGAGAUUCUGGCUUUGACAGCACCCUCUGGGUCUUUGGAAACUUAAGUAUUGCAAUUCCAAGCUCAUGUAUUUUGGGAGUACUGGGUAUGGUGCUAUAAUUAGAGCAAAGUUUCUACAAGUCAGUGGCAAAAGUGGGAUUAGAUUGCCCUAUGUUCUGUAAGUAAAGAACUAAGACGUUUUUCCUCUCCUUCAAAAAGUGCACGUGCCGUAAACAAACUGGUUGUGUGUGGUGGUUUGAAAAAAAAUUUUUUUAGCUUUGGCCUCCAACCAGUAGUCUAGAUGUACACAGGUAUCUUGCCGUGACAACUUCCAAAUCCAUACUGUAACAAGACAGGUUCACCUUUAAUUGGACUGACAAUCUGAAAAAAAUAAUAAGGCACAGGGACUUUGAGUUUAAUCACUAAAACAGGGACUAUCCUAUAUGUAGAAAGUAAAUUCUUUCUACUUUGGGAGAAUUUUGGUAAGUAUAAGCACAUGAGCUUUAGAAAAUCAAGUACGAGGGGACAAAAGGUACAAAGAAAAAUCAUGUGAAAUGUGAUCUUCCCAAACAUCUUGAGCCCAAAUAACAUAUAUAAGUAUUGGCUGCUAUUUUUGUAUACUGAACUACUUAAAGGAUCAUAAAGAUAGCUAGUUAGUGGCUAAAUGAAGUAUAAGUUCUCUGUGCAUCUUCCUUGGGGAAUUCAGAGACACCCUGCUUCUUUCUAAACCCUCCUGCAUUGGGUCUGAUAGAUGCUGUUGAUCCCACCCCGCUCCCCUCCACCGACUUUGAACAGUCACAUUUCAAAUCUAUGUCAAAAAAUAAGACACACGCAGGUGUCAUCUUUGAUGCAAACUUUUGGAAAGACGAGAAGUGGCAGAUUGAGAGAGAGACAAAAGGUCUAUGUAGACAAACCCGUGCUAAAAUAAUGGUAUUAAGCAGUGUGUGGACUGGGCAGAAAAGCACUUUGAGUAAUGAUUGUUGGGGUCAGGGAAAAAGCAGUUGAUGUUUUUUAAGUUCUGCCAGUAUGUAUAUAUUACAAUCAUUUAGCAAACAUCUUAAGAGACUCUUAAUUAAAAAUUCAGUUGCCAAAAUUGCACAGAUUAUUCAAUAUUAGCUCUACCCGCCCCUUAAAUAACAGGGAUGCUUAAGGACAGUUCUAAUUGUUUUGGCAUAUUUUUAGCUUCCUUUUUCUAAGAUUCUUUGAAGGGAAGGAAGAGUGGAAAAAGGUAUUUUAACAAAAAUGGAAAGAAAUAGAUAGUAUAAAACUAUAUUUCUUAAAGUAUGCAAGCGCUAUACCAAGACUUUAUAAGGCUUCCUGUUGCCAAACACGAUGCUGAAAUAAUGCACAAGAUGGCACAUCAGUCCAUUACCAACCGGCUCUGCCCACUGCUGUUACAAAAUGCAAGGAUUGAGAGGUGGCCCCGGGGUGAAGGGGCCUAUGUGUGUCAGAGAGCUCCACUCCUCUGGCCCUGGAAACGUUUUCCACAAGAGGGGAGAAAAGACCAACCCUCUUGGUAGUCCUACCCCAAGAUGAGCUGAGCUGACCUGGCACUGUUUCCACAGGAGCCGCGUGACCCGCCCUUCCCACACUAGGAGAGCACCCCUGACCUGCCUGUGAAUCAGUGCCGUGGCCAAGAAAAGCAGUGAUUCAUGAGGCAUGAUGCUCUUGAUUCCCAGACAGUGUGCUCAGUUAACAGGCUCACUUGAGAUGUAUAAACCAAGAUGACUGUUUUCAUCUAGUACUCAAUUUGGAGUGUUUUUGCAUGUCUUUGUACAUAUCUACUCCUUUCAAUACCCAUCUUAAUCUCCCCUGACUUCAUUAUCUUUCCACUCCUGCCCUUUCUUCUGAUCUCACCCACCCUCUUCAAAGAAAAUCUUUUCUGAAGCAAGAAGGUAGAACACUCCCUCCUUCAUCUGGAUUUUGAUCACUCUGGAAACAUUUGUGUGUUCCACCCUGUCUGGGGUUUACAUAACGUGAAUUAAGUGAAUGAGAUGUUCUAGUAUUAUAUAUUAACCUGAUAUGACUAAGAUUUAUAAUAUAUGGUGCUGUCACUUUCCUGUGCAAACUUUGGUUCUGCUGCCCUGCAGAAAAGUCUCAACCAUUUUCCUACCAAUGCCAGUAUGAACAGGGCAGGAGAGCUAAACGUGGGUACCUGGAGGUCAGAGGGGUGAGGGAGGCGGAGAAACCAGGAGAAGAUGUGGGUUUGAGGCCUCCCUGGGCCUUUCCUCAAAGGUGGACGUGAGUCGAUCCUUCAGGAAAGCAAGCUCUCAGAUCUCAACUGCUCCUCAUCGACUAAGCCUUUUAGAACUAGCAAGAUCCCUCACCUGGAUGAGAGAACACAUAACUUUCUUACUCACCCCAAACCCACUGGUGUGUCUUGCUAACAAAAACACUGGACACAAGCCUAUUUGACAGCAAAGUUGGCCAAAGGGAACUGAAAUAUCUUAAGGAAAAGCAAUUUUCCCCAAGAUAUGUCCUCUCUCCCCACUCCCCAACCCCAGAGUUUGGGGCGGGGGUGGGGGGCGGGGGGCUGUGCUUUUUUUCGUUUCUGUCCUCCUCCGCAUCAAACCAGCCUCUUCUGCCCAGCCUGUCACAGAACCAAAGUCUGCACUAUGAAAGGGGUCAGCACCCAGGGACGGGCACAGCUUACAUCACCCUGAUCUGAUCAUUGUGACGUCGGUAGCUUCAUAAAUACUGUAUGUACCUUGAACAAGGGUUUUGUUUUUGUUUUGUUUUUGGUUUGUUUUUCUUAGUAGUUUAAGGGAAUUAAAAGUUUUUAUUUGCUGUUUCCUUUGUUGUAUUUUCUGUACUAUAACUGUCUACAGUAUGUCUUUUUGCAUAAAAUGCAUAAGGGUUUGGGGAUGUAAAUGGAAUUUUAUUCAUAUUUUGUCCAAAUACCUCUUGUAAUUUGUAUCAAAAUUCUUGUACAAUUUUUAUAUUAAAGAUUUAUCAGUCACUGA